UACGUAGGGUGCGAGCGUUGUCCGGAAUUAUUGGGCGUAAAGAGCUCGUAGGCGGUUUGUCGCGUCUAUCGUGAAAACCUGGGGCUUAACUCCGGGCUUGCGGUGGAUACGGGCAGACUUGAGUUCGGUAGGGGAGACUGGAAUUCCUGGUGUAGCGGUGAAAUGCGCAGAUAUCGUAAGGAAGACCAGUGGCGAAGGCGGGUCUCUGGACAGUUCCUGACACUGAGACACGAAGGCCAGGGGAGCAAACGGG
rnacentral:rRNA from 1 species